ACUUGAAGGAGCGUCCUUGACAUCCCAGAACCACUGGUUGGAUGGUGGUGGAGGGGGGCUAGAAAGCAAUGGGUCUGGUUAGCCGCUAGGGGGUGCUGGGGAAGCAGGACACCUUAAAUUUGGGCAACGCGUUUCCCUCGCUGGCUCUCAGAGGCCUGGGGUGGGGCUGCUUUUCCAGACCGAGCCGAAGGCACGUGGCCCGUGGGGACUGGGUGGGGACAGACCUGCGUCGCCCAGUCUCGUGCUAUGGGUUCUUUCCGGCUUCCGCUACCAGGAAAAGCCAGGGAAGUUCUGCACCCCCCCGGAGUGAGAGGGGGGCAACGGGACACCCACUUCUGGGCAGCAGCCACCUCAGUUUUUCCAGAUGGGUGGGUGUCCAGGAAGUACCCACCGAGGCGCCUCCAGCAGAAUGAGUCACUCACUGGUAAAAUGGCAAAAGAAUGUAUUUGCCGAAACCACAGAGACAUUUUGCCCAGGAUCUGGAAGCCUGGGGCUUUUCCGAUGCUGCUUUGGUGUUGUUUGGCACUGGCCAAGGUGACCCACUGCAGCGGCCCAGAGAAGGUUUCCUGUCCCUUAAAGAGCCCUUUGGGUAACAGAACAUGGCUGGGAACGGUUCACCCACCAAGGGUGCUCCCCUGCACUUGAAAGGGUCGACAGAAAUGGAAUCCCUUUUAAAUCCUCAAUCCCACCCUCUUCUACAUCAGCAGAACCCAUUGCUUUUUUUUUUUUUUUUUUUAAAGAUUUUACCUUUAAAUAAUCUCUAUCCCCAAGGUGAGGCUCAAACUCACAACUAGGAAGUCAAGAGUCCCGGGCUCCUCUAACUGAGCCUGCCAGGUGCCACUCCCCACCCUAUUGCCUUCUGGAUAAAUGAGCAGCUUCAGAGCCUCUACUGAGUCAAGAAGCUUGCUUGCUUGCUUUAUUUAUUGGAAUUUUUUAUUUAUUUAAGAUUUUAUUUAUUUAUUCUUGAGAGACACACACACACUGAGGUAGAGACAGGCAGAGGGAGAAGGAGGCUCCCUGAGGGGAGCCCAAUGUGGGACUCAAUCCCAGGACCUGGAGAUGGCACCCUAAGGCUAAGGCCAUCAGUGGCUCAACAGCUGAGCCACCCAGGUACCCCCUCCCAUUGCAAUUUUGAUUUGCAUUUCUCCCAUGGAUGAUGAUGUCAAGCCUCUUUUCAUGUGCUUAUUGGCCAUUUGGAUGUCUUCUUUUGAGAAAUAUCGAUUCAGAUCCUUUGCCCAUUUGUCAACUGGUUUGUCUUUUUGUUGUUGAGUUAUAAGAGUUCUUUGUAUUCUGGGGGCUCCUGGCUGGCUUAGUCAGGAGAGCAUGUGACUCUGACCUUAAGGUUGUGAGUUCGAGCCCCACAUUGGGUAUACAGAUUACUUAAAAUUUUUUUUAAAGUUCUUUAUAUUCUGGAUAUUAGACUCUUAUCAGCCAUGUUAUCUGCCAAGUAUUUUCUCCCAUUUUGUAACUUUUUUCACUUUUUUAAAAAAGUAUUUUAUUUUUAAGUUAUUUCCACCCUCAACAUGGGGCUGGAACUCACAGCCUUGAGGUCAAGAGUCACAUACUCCACCUACUGAGCCAGCUAGUCACCCCUCACUUUUUUGAUAGUGUUUUUUGAAAUACAAAAAUUUCUGGUUUUGAUAAA
rnacentral:lncRNA from 12 species